UACGGAAGGCAGCAGUGGGGAAUAUUGCACAAUGGGCGAAAGCCUGAUGCAGCUAUGCCGCGUGUAUGAAGAAGGCCUUAGGGUUGUAAAGUACUUUCAUCGGGGAGGAAAAAACAAAACUAAUAAUUUUAUUUCUUGACGUUACCCGAAAAAGAAGCACCGGCUAACUCCGUGCCAGCAGCCGCGGUAAUACGGAGGGUGCUAGCGUUAAUCAGAAUUACUGGGCGUAAAGAGCACGUAGGUGGUUUUUUUAAGUCAGAUGUGAAAUCCCUGGGCUUAACCUAGGAACUGCAUUUUGAAACUGAAAUACUAGAGUAUCGUAGAGGGAGGUAGAAUUCUAGGUGUAGCGGUGAAAUGCGUAGAUAUCUGGAGGAAUACCUGUGGCGAAAGCGGCCUCCUAAACGAAUACUGACACUGAGGGUGCGAAAGCGGUGGGGA
rnacentral:rRNA from 1 species